CAAUCUCAGUUCAGAUUGCAGGCUGCAACUCGCCUGCAUGAAGGUCGGAAUUGCUAGUAAUCGUAGGUCAGCAUACUACGGUGAAUACGUUCCCGGGCCUUGUACACACCGCCCGUCAAACCAUGAGAGUUGGCAACACCCGAAGUCGGUAGUCUAACCGCAAGGGAGGACGCCGCCGAAGGUGGGGGUUGAUGAUUAGGGGUUAAGUCGUAACAAGGUAUC
rnacentral:rRNA from 1 species